rnacentral:rRNA from 1 species
GACGUAGGGCGCGAGCGUUGUCCGGAUUUAUUGGGCGUAAAGAGCUCGUAGGCGGCUUGUCGCGUCGUCCGUGAAAACCUGCAGCUCAACUGCAGGCUUGCGGUCGAUACGGGCAGACUAGAGUGAUGUAGGGGAGACUGGAAUUCCUGGUGUAGCGGUGAAAUGCGCAGAUAUCAGGAGGAACACCGAUGGCGAAGGCAGGUCUCUGGGCAUUAACUGACGCUGAGGAGCGAAAGCAUGGGGAGCGAACAGG